AGCCUAAGCAGAAAACAAUGUUAAAGGGCCUCUUUUACUCUCUGUAUCUUAACUUCCUUGAAUAUCAUGAAACACUACAGAACUCUUAUAAGUGUGUCCACCACCUGAGCUCCUGGAUGCAGUCAGAGAUCCCUUGAAGACAUUAAAAUUUUAGGAAUAAUAUCAAUAAAGAAUUUAACCAAGAAGGAAGAGAAGGGAGCAUUACACUCUUGUUUGAUCUCUUCCCUUUUUCCUUGCCCAGAAAUAACUCUGGAGUGAAAACAGUGAAAAAAGAAUCGAACUUGAGUUCCAUGCAUGAUUUCCAGCAGCCUCAGCAAGACAAAUUGGAAGCUACUCAUCUAGCCAAUUCAUGAAGACCACUAACCAUAUACUCAAUAAUGUUUCCAGUUUUUGCUGCCUUUUUGGAUUAUUUCAAUGGCACAGCUCAAGGUGGCUGCAAUCAGUGCCUUAAGGAGUUACAGCUGUUCAUCAUGGAUGUGUCAAGAAGGAGGGUUUGGUAUUUGUUUCCAGGGAUCCUACUGUGUAGAAGGCUGGCAAGGGCUGUGGAAAAGAGAAGGUUCCCAGCACGUGAGGCUGGGUCAGACUUUCAGUCAAACUUAUAAUUUUGGGGAAAGCACUAUUCAAAGACAUGUGGGUAAGUACAAUUAAGCUGCUGAAAGGAGACUUCCCAAUUUAUUUAGCGUAAGAGAGAGAAGGUUCUUUUCUUAUCCCAAAUAAGCCAAUGACUUUGUUUUAAUUAUAUCAUGGUGAAGAAGGCCCAGUGUUUUUUGCUGCUGACCUUUUAAGAUCUCAAAAGCAACAUUAUUUGCAACUCUAGGCAGUUACCAUGGUGCAUUGGACUUAUUUUUAGCCAAUAGCUGGAUGAUUAAGCUUGGCAGAGGAUGAUGCUGAUAUAUGGUGACAGAAAACUUCUCAGAUGGGAUUUGUCCAGAAAUCUACUGGACAUCUUUUUUUGUGCAAACGUAAAUUGCCUUUAUUUAAUUAAAGUUUCAUUUUGGUCUUCUGUGAUUGCCCGAAACAUGAGUGACCAACUUGAAAACAAAUUAAAAAAGAAAUAUUGCUACAUUGUAAGGAAUUUUCAUUUCCACAGAUAGUGUAGAAGAUAUAUAUUGACAAUUUUAAUACAAAUCAAAUUAUUCACAGAUUAUGGAAUCUUUUUCCAUAUGGCACCCACACAGUGCAGUUUUAUGGGUCUAGCUCUCCAGCUGCAUCAGUUUAUGGGAGGUGUAUGUGCCUACGACUGUCUCUUGGUGCUGAACAUAUUUCAUGUCUUGCCUCCCACCACUGUGGCAAAGGUAAACAAAGCAGGAUUUAAAAGAUAGAAGAGGAUGAAUGAAUCCAGCAGUCUUUUUGUCAACCAAAGCCAGAAGAUAGAGAGGAAGUGAUAUAUAGCAACAGGAACCUCAUGGAAAUUCCUGACAGUUAUGCCAUUCUCCCACAGAUUUUACAAAUGUUUUGGAUAAUCCUUAGUGCCAUUAUGACAGGGACUGUACGCAUGAAUGCAGAUGAUGUCUAACAAAUGUCUUUCCUCUCUCUUCCUCUGUAUGUGUGUAUAUAUGCACAUUCAUACAUAUAAAAUUACAAUCAUCUCUUAAACAGAACUUUUAUUGCAAGACAUAUCCUAAGGAGCUUCAUGAACCAUAAAAUGUGACAACAAAGCAAAUAGGUACCAUGUGCUCUACACAGUCAUGGGAGAGACAUUUACAGGCACUCAGGGAUCACAGUGAUAUACCUGCAUGGAUUCAGGUUAUACCAAGCAUGAAGAAACUCUAGAAUUUUUAGAAUAGUUAUGUGCAUUUUCAAUGCCUAUUUCAUAUAUAAGUUCCACAUAUGCCAAGACCCUAAUGUGAUUUAGGAACAGUUUUUUCUAAUGGCUACGUGACUGAAAGGUGGAAAACUAGCAGUUUCUAGGCUUUUGGAAGUGGAUUGGGGAAAAUGUUAAUGAAGAAGAUUCAUGGAGACUGAUGUUAGAGAGAAAGGCAAUUAAGGCUGGCCUCAAGCUAUGUUCAGCACCAAGAGACAGGCAAUGUAGGCAUAUAAACCUCCUAUAAACUGAUGCAGCUGGAGACACAGACCCAUAAAUCUGAAAUCUGGCUGACACUUUGUUGGUUUCCCAUGAAAUGCUGCUACCUGUUCAGGUAUGGCUAGAAUAUGGCUCAUUGAACCACCUAUGUGUGUCCUCCAAACAUGAGAAACAGUGUGUACCAAAUCAUUCAUAUAAGCAUGCUAAAAUAAGAUUAAUAAAAUAAAUAGAGGAGAAAAUGGGACAGAAAAUAUCUCUCCUUCCAUAAAACAAAAAUAUUCUUUCUUUUUCCCUUAUCAAUAAAACUGUUUCUCACCAAGGUGCUUAUUCUGAAAAAAAGGAUAUUCUACUUUUGAAAAAAAAAUUUAGAUUUUUUUAUAAAACUCAUUAGCAACUUAAAUUUUUAUUGUAUUUUUUCAGUAAAACCAGAGAUAUUUGCAAAAUCAGAUUAAUUUUUUUAUUUGUUCUUUGUUUGAAGGUUUAUUUCUUAUAUCUGCUUCUAUAUCUCAACAUGUUUUCUUUUUUCUCCAAAAGGUCUUUGUGAUUUAUAACUAAUGUAGAAAUGGAAGCAUGAUUUUCCUGGACAUUGUUUGGCCAAACCUGAUGAAAGAAUUCUUGGAUAGUGUGAGGGAGAUAUAGAGGAGAAAAAAGAGAAAAUCAGGAAAAUCAAUGAAUGUUGAAAGAGGCUAAAAAAUGAGAAAAUGAAAAUUUUAACUUCCUGCAGGAACAAAAUCAAUUAUGGUAGUGCACUGUUGAUUUGUGCUACAAUUUCUUUAUGCAUGUGAAAUGGAAAUAGGGUAAGUACAAAAUGUGCACCCAAUUUCUGGAAGAAGUUUGCAAAAUCAUUAGCUGUGUGCUAGCAAGCCGCCAACAACAAAUGAGCCCAAGACCAUAAAUACAAUUUUUGUGUUGAAUUAUUUGACUAGUUAGAUUCAAUAGAUCUUUAAAUCAUACUUUCCUUCUGAGGUAUCUUUUAUUGUGUGCUUUCACAUUCAUGUAGCUUUAUUGAUUGUAUCUUCUUCACUGCCAUAUGUUAAAUUGCAAGCAGUAAAAUUGAAACAUUAAAUCACAUUCCUUUCCUUUCAUGUGUCACUUACCUAUUGGGAACAUAUGUUACACUGGCACAAUAAAACUUGCCCUGAAGGCGUAGUCUGUGUACGCAAGGCUGUGAAAAUGGAGGCGUAUAAAAAUGUCCCAGUGUCCUACCUGAAGAUUAAGCUUCAAUAAAAUAAAAUUAUAAAUAUUUCAAACAUAAAAUAUUACUUGUAAUGAUGUAGUAACAAAUUCUCUAGAGUCCAUGGCUCUAAAAGGAAUGCAGAGUAUAUCUGCAGCGUGUGUCUUCCAGCAGAUUUUACUACCCCACCUAUGAUGCAGGUCACAAUAUUUCCUUGAAAGGGCUUAACUCAGACACUCUUCCCAUUCAGUUGAAAUUUUUGCCAGAUUAACCUAGCUAAUAUUUCUUAUUUAUAUAACGCCUUUUUUUUUUUUUUUUUGCUAUUCAUCUGAGACAACUGAAACCUACAGAAAGAAAAUUAAAAAUAAUAUCAAUAUGUCUUAAAACAAUACGUGAUACCUAUAUAAUUGAUAUUAAUGUAUAAAAUAUUUACUUAUGCCUCCCUUAGAACUAAACUGAUUGGUUCUUUCUUAGACACAGGCUAUUGAACUACAUAAAACUUCUGAUAAAAUAAUUCCUUAAGGCCCCUACCUUUAUAAAGAACUAGAGUAGAUAAAAAUCUAGUUUUUAGUCAGUUUUGUUCCUUGCUCAUAAGCACCAGAUGAUCCUCAUACUAAUGUCCAAAUACUUUGAUUAAAAACUUAUAUUUUACAAACAAUGUACAAACUUACUAAAAGGAAGUGAAAAUUGCAGAAUUUGGGUUUUUAGCAGCAUGCAUAUUUCAGAAAGUUUUGCUUAUCUUAUUUCUUCCAUCUUGUCUGGCCUUGGCAUGGAUUGUUCAGUAACGAAGAGAAACAUGGCAUGGCAGUUUGAAGAAAGUGAAGAAAAUAUUUUUAGAGCUGAAUGUUAAGUUAACUGGAACCAGAGAGCAUACAAUUGUCAAAACCACUCUGGAACUAACUCACCUAUUCUUCCUAAAAGGGCCAUGGGGUUUUCAUUUCACAAUUGGUCCAUGGGACAUUAGUGUUUAUUGUUUGUUUCAUUUCAAAAGGCUGUGAAAUAUUGAGAUCGAAAGUAACUUUAAUUUCAUUUCCAAAAGAAAGAACAAAGUUUAACUGAUAUUUUCUAGAUCAUGAGUCCAAUAAAACAGCUGGAGUUUCAUUGAAAA
ensembl:lncRNA